rnacentral:misc_RNA from 1 species
AUGCCCACUAGGAAAGCUUUUAUAUCCUUCCUUUAUAACCUUGGCAUCUCCAUGACAAAUAACAUCCUUAGUAACCGGAUUAAAUGCCUCUUUUCCAUCAGGAAAACACCUCCAAAAGAAGUUUGGCCUCGGUCGACCAACAGCAUCUUUGAUAGCAUCCGUUAUAACUCCAGUGACAAGAAGAGAAAACAAUAGCCCUGAGCUUGCAUAAUAAUGUAAUGAUACAAUGAGCUAUUAACAUCUAAAAUUUAUUUCACCAAAACUUUGUAUGAAGAGAAAUGUCACUGGAUUAUUAUAGGAGUUUAUUGUGAAUCCAAGACACAAACAUAUGAGUCUCAACUAUUUUAUAUGUGAGUCCAUACAGUCCACAAUAAAUCGGGUUUAGGCAUGAAUUGUCCAAACAGCUUAGUAAUUGAGUGCCUGUGAGUGAGAACAGAGACAGAAUUUCCAAUGUACUAAAGAAGAAGUACAUGAGAAAUACCCAAUAUGG